GCUAAACGCGAAGAACCUUACCAAGGCUUGACAUAUACCGUUUAUCCCUAGAGAUAGGGAGUCCUUCGGGCGGUAUACAGGUGGUGCAUGGUUGUCGUCAGCUCGUGUCGUGAGAUGUUGGGUUAAGUCCCGCAACGAGCGCAACCCUCGUUCUAUGUUGCCAGCGCGUAAUGGCGGGGACUCAUAGGAGACUGCCGGGGUCAACUCGGAGGAAGGUGGGGAUGACGUCAAAUCAUCAUGCCCCUUAUGUCUUGGGCUUCACGCAUGCUACAAUGGCCGGUACAAAGGGCUGCAAUACCGCAAGGUGGAGCGAAUCCCAAAAAAGCCGGUCUCAGUUCGGAUUGAGGUCUGCAACUCGACCUCAUGAAGUCGGAGUCGCUAGUAAUCGCAGAUCAGCAACGCUGCGGUGAAUACGUUCCCGGGUCUUGUACACACCG
rnacentral:rRNA from 1 species